ensembl:misc_RNA Metazoa_SRP Metazoan signal recognition particle RNA
GCUGGGCAUGGUGGUGGGUGCCUGUAAUCCCAGCUACUCGGGAGGCUGAGGCAGGAGAAUCACUUGAACCUGGGAGGCCGAGGAUGCAGUGAGCUGAGAUCAUGCCGCUGCAUUCCAGCCCAGGCAACAGUGCGAGACUCUGUCUCAA